UGAAAAUAUUUGGAGAAAGCACGGUU
rnacentral:piRNA from 1 species